rnacentral:tRNA from 1 species
CUCCGGCGUGGCCGAAGGGGGUGUGGCCCAGGUCGUGGCCCAGGGCGAUGGCCUCCGUUAGGUCCUCGUUCAAUGCGAGGGCCCGGGC